GAUGAAGAACGUAGCGAAAUGCGAUACGUAAUGUGAAUUGCAGAAUUCAGUGAAUCAUCGAGUCUUUGAACGCACAUUGCGCCCCCUGGUAUUCCGGGGGGCAUGCCUGUCCGAGCGUCAUUGCUGCCCUCAAGCACGGCUUGUGUGUUGGGCCUCCGUCCUCCUCCCGGGGGACGGGCCCGAAAGGCAGCGGCGGCACCGCGUCCGGUCCUCGAGCGUAUGGGGCUUCGUCACCCGCUCUUGUAGGCCCGGCCGGCGCUUGCCGACACAUCCAUCUUUUUUCCAGGUUGACCUCGGAUCAGGUAGGGAUACCCACUGAACUUAAGCAUAUCAAUAAGCGGAGGA
rnacentral:misc_RNA from 1 species